rnacentral:rRNA from 1 species
GCCCUUAGAGUUUGAUCCUGGCUCAGAUUGAACGCUAGCGGCAUGCCUUACACAUGCAAGUCGAACGGCAGCGCGGGGGCAACCCUGGCGGCGAGUGGCGAACGGGUGAGUAAUGCAUCGGAACGUGCCCAACGAUGGGGGAUAACUGCGCGAAAGCGUUGCUAAUACCGCAUACGACCUACGGGUGAAAGCAGGGGACCGCAAGGCCCUUGCGUCGAUGGAGCGGCCGAUGUCGGAUUAGCUAGUUGGUGAGGUAAAGGCUCACCAAGGCGACGAUCCGUAGCUGGUCUGAGAGGACGACCAGCCACACUGGGACUGAGACACGGCCCAGACUCCUACGGGAGGCAGCAGUGGGGAAUCUUGGACAAUGGGCGCAAGCCUGAUCCAGCAAUGCCGCGUGUGGGAAGAAGGCCUUCGGGUUGUAAACCACUUUUGGCAGGAAAGAAAUCGUCCGUGCUAAUACCAUGGAUGGAUGACGGUACCUGCAGAAUAAGCACCGGCUAACUACGUGCCAGCAGCCGCGGUAAUACGUAGGGUGCGAGCGUUAAUCGGAAUUACUGGGCGUAAAGCGUGCGCAGGCGGUUGGGAAAGAUCGAUGUGAAAUCCCCGGGCUUAACCUGGGAAUGGCAUGGAUGACUAUCCGACUGGAGUACGGUAGAGGGGAGUGGAAUUCCGCGUGUAGCAGUGAAAUGCGUAGAUAUGCGGAGGAACACCGAUGGCGAAAGCAGCUCCCUGGACCUGUACUGACGCUCAUGCACGAAAGCGUGGGGAGCAAACAGGAUUAGAUACCCUGGUAGUCCACGCCCUAAACGAUGUCAACUGGUUGUUGGACGGGCAACUGUUCAGUAACGAAGCUAACGCGUGAAGUUGACCGCCUGGGGAGUACGGCCGCAAGGUUAAAACUCAAAUGAAUUGACGGGGAAGGGC